rnacentral:misc_RNA from 1 species
GAUGAAGAACGUAGCGAAAUGCGAUACUUGGUGUGAAUUGCAGAAUCCCGUGAACCAUCGAGUCUUUGAACGCAAGUUGCGCCCGAAGCCAACAGGUUGAGGGCACGUCUGCCUGGGCGUCACAUAUCGUUGCUCGAUGCCUAUCGCAUUGCGAUAGGACUUAGGGCGAAUGAUGGCUUCCCGUGAGCGUUGUUGCCUCGCGGUUGGUUGAAAAUCGAGUCCUUGGUAGGGUGUGCCAUGAUAGAUGGUGGUCGAGUUAGCACGAGACUGAUCAUGUGCAUGCUCCCCAAAAUAUGGCCUCUGUGACCCACACGCGUCUUUUGACGCUCAUGACGAGACCUCAGGUCAGGCGGGGCUACCCGCUGAAUUUAAGCAUAUCAAUAAGCGGAGGA